rnacentral:rRNA from 1 species
UACGGAGGGUGCAAGCGUUAUCCGGAUUCACUGGGUUUAAAGGGUGCGUAGGUGGGCAGUUAAGUCAGUGGUGAAAUCUCCGGGCUUAACCCGGAAACUGCCCUUGAUACUAUCUGUCUUGAAUAUCGUGGAGGUAAGCGGAAUAUGUCAUGUAGCGGUGAAAUGCUUAGAUAUGACAUAGAACACCAAUUGCGAAGGCAGCUUACUACCCGAAUAUUGACACUGAGGCACGAAAGCGUGGGGAUCAAACAGG